AGCAAACAUGGUAUUUAAUUAAAAAUAUUAAAUUGACCUUAAUCAGUUUUUAUCAACCUGCUAUUAACACUCACUUUUAGUAAGUUACUUGUACUUUGAGGUUGAAAAAUCUUACCAGCUCAGUCUACUUGAGCUGGAUUAAUUUAGAAAAAGUAAGUUUAUGACACUGUGGGCAUGCGCAGAUCAAUCAAUCAUCCCCAACCAAUCAAGCUGCUUCGUAAGGCGGGUCUUGGCGUGGCGGGAUUCGUAAUUUUGCAAACGGUAUGUCACCGCAACUGACCAACCAGAUGAAGCUGGAUAUCAUUGAGCUGGACCUAAACAUCGCUUCAACGGCACUUGUGAUUAUCGUCAGCAUAACAGCGAUUCUUGUGCUUGGCACAAUCAUUUGUUUCCUUCCAGGCACAAGCAGAUGGUGAUCAAUCCACACAUUCCAUAAUCCCAGCAAUAAAAGAUUUUCAAACAGUUAUCAAAAUGGACCAGAGGUUGUUACUGAGAGUCAUCAUCGCUGAAGAUGAUAUAACAUUGUCAUCACCCACCACAACAUUAGACACUGAGGGCAGCACAGCAGACACUGAGAUCCUGUCGCCUGUAGGAGCAUCACCAUCGCUAAGACAACAGUGGCCAGAAUUCUUUGACAUACCCAAUUAGCACAUAUCACAGAGAGACAGGUGUUUGCUGAGUUUAAUGGAAUCGCCAGUAAGAAUCUUGAGAGAGACUUCUUUGAGGCUCUGGACCAGGAUGCCCCACGGUUCAUUGAACUUUUCAAAACAAAAAAGGGAACUGUUGGCCAGAAACUCAGGGAGCUGAUGCAGCACAUGAGCUGGAUGACACCAAACGUCACAGCACUUCGCUGUGUUGUCCUCAAAGGCAUUCCCAUUUUACUCGGUGAUGACUCCAGUGAAUUCUACAAGACUUGCUCUGAUACAGAGAGAGACGAGGCCCUAGAAUGCAUCACUGUUGGUGUGCUGACAGUUGUCAGUGAAGGUAGUCCUCACGAGGGUCAAAGCUCAGUGGACCUCCAGCCCAUCUCCACUGCCAUCAUUCUGGAGGGAGUUAUUGUCAUGGAUCAUAUUAAAAACUUGCCUCAGGCAGUUUGUCCUUUGUUUGGUCUUUCAUAUGCAUUGCAUUUGGAUUACCCAAAAUGCAUGGCAAAUACACUCAACUUCAUUCAGACUGUGAUGCUUGGACUCCCACCAAAACUGUUAACUCUGAAGAACAGUCUUCUGGGUUAGAACAGUAAAGAGCCGUCGGCUGUCAGAUAGCACUUUGUAAGCUUUGCAGCCAUUAAUGUUCUCCUCUUAUGAGAGAAAGUUUGAUGCUUUCAUGGAACUGUUCUCGCUUAUUUAAGUUCUCAAUGGAAAAAAAAAAGAAUAUUCCAUUAAAGUCUACCAUGUUAUGCAGGUAUGCUAAUGAUGGAAAUAGUGCCACGUUGUGUUGCAAUGAGUUGUUAGUUGUUAUUACAACAAGUAAAUGUUUACAUUUGUUUUUUGGGAAAACUUUUAAUGAUUUUUUUAUUUGUGUUGGUUUAAUCCUUGGACUGCUCUCUUUGGGACACAAAAGUAUUUGUUGUACUUUCGGUUUUGAUCAGAAAUGCAUUGAUUUUGCAUGCACUGAAAUCGUCCUGUAGUUACCUGUUUAAUAUUGGAAGACAUGCAUACAAUUGGCUCACAGAAAUGUUUUUAUUUUAUUUUAUUUUUUAUUUUUUUUCCUUGUCAUUUUAUACAGUUAAAUCAAACCACAACUUGGUUGUUUAGCUGCUGUUUUGUACUUGAAUGUGCAUUGAAUAAAUUUUGUAAUGGAGCUGAAUCAAACCAGUGAGUGUUCUUUUAAAUUAUAUGUUUGUGUUGUGCUUGCCUUUAUCACAUAGUAACAGCAAAAAUAGAUAAAUGGGGAAGAGAAAAGGCCACAUGUUGCAGCUAAUUAAAGGAAAUUGGUUUCUUUAAUUUAAGUGAACUUGAAAAAUGAGUGAGCAGAACUGAUAGUGUUAAGUUGUAGGUAUUUAGUAAUUCUAAGUGGGGUUAAAUUUAUAUCAAGCAAUCAACACAAAAUGAAAAAAUUAAGUUAACACUAAGCAUGGCUAUUAAGUUACAUGAACAUAAAAAAACGUGUUAGUGGUACUACUUGAUAUAGUACUGCACACUUAAAAAAAACAAGCUUUUCUAACUCACUAAUCUUAAGUUUACUUUGCUUAAUUUUUUUGAGGCAACGAGUUUGCAUACUUUUUUUAAGUAAGGUCAACUAAU
rnacentral:lncRNA from 1 species